AGUGAACGCUGGCGGUAGGCCUAACACAUGCAAGUCGAACGGCAGCACAGUAAGAGCUUGCUCUUACGGGUGGCGAGUGGCGGACGGGUGAGGAAUACAUCGGAAUCUACUUUUUCGUGGGGGAUAACGUAGGGAAACUUACGCUAAUACCGCAUACGACCUACGGGUGAAAGCAGGGGAUCUUCGGACCUUGCGCGGUUGAAUGAGCCGAUGUCGGAUUAGCUAGUUGGCGGGGUAAAGGCCCACCAAGGCGACGAUCCGUAGCUGGUCUGAGAGGAUGAUCAGCCACACUGGAACUGAGACACGGUCCAGACUCCUACGGGAGGCAGCAGUGGGGAAUAUUGGACAAUGGGCGCAAGCCUGAUCCAGCCAUACCGCGUGGGUGGAGAAGGCCUUCGGGUUGUAAAGCCCUUUUGUUGGGAAAGAAAAGCAGCAGGUUAAUACCCCGCUGUUCUGACGGUACCCAAAGAAUAAGCACCGGCUAACUUCGUG
rnacentral:rRNA from 1 species